rnacentral:lncRNA from 1 species
AUUUGACACAGAUAGAAACCCAGCUUGGUCCCAGCUCUUGCUAAGGAAGCAUAAAUUGUUUUCUUAGGGGAAGUCCCUUGAUCUUACAGAUAGAGAAUAAGAUGACUCAAAUUGUGAUUGAGGUUAUAAACCAUACAGCUCUGUUCUGAAUCAUUUGAAAAUAAUCUUAGACAAGGGCUGUAUGGAAAUAAUAUCCAAAGUGGCUUCAGAAUUGCAUUAAUAAUUAUAAUUACAACAAUAAAUCACAACACAGAGUGAAUCUAAUACUUCAAUAAAAAGAUUCCUCAGUCUCACUGACUUGUUAGUGAAAUUCAUUAUUUAAAGAAACUUUUUCCCUGCACUUUGCUAUUUAAAUGGGUUAGCAAUGGACUAUAUUCUACAAUGCUUGAUUUCACUGGAUUUUUGUGGAUAUUUAGAUGAAUGCAACUAAUUAUUUUUUUUGAAAAGUAUAGAUAUUUAUUUUCACUUCCCAGAUUUCAGAGCUGUAACCACCCCUCCACUUUAGACAAGGCCAAAGAGGAUGAUUAUAUGUUAAAGAACUCAUGAAACCACCUUUCAAAUCCAGGUCUUUUGAUAUUUCUGCCCAGGCUCAUUUUACUAUCACAUGAUAUCUGAAAUUUAUUUUGAAUUUUGAGGUAUAGUCUCACUAUGUUGUCCAGAGUAGCCUGAAACUCACUAAGUGGACCAGGUUAUAUUGUAAUGCCAUCUGCCUCUGCCUUCCAGGGGCACGUAUCAAAGUCAUAUGUCCACAUGCCUAGCCAACCCCAUGGUAUUCCUGAAGCCCAUCUGGAUGAGUGGAAUUCAUGAUGCCUUUGUGAAACUGCUUCUAUCUGAGAAGGAGGAGUUGCCAUUUAGCAAGUAGUAGGUGGUACCGUGUGUGGCAGAGUCCGAUGUGUUACACCACGAGGACAUUCAUCUUUGCAAUUGGUGAAGUCCUUCUACCUAGUUCCCCUUCCUUGUGCACAGAAGAGGACUGGAAAACUCUCCUCAUAGGACUGCAUACUGCUAUCUCUGAGAAGUAAGCAGUAUUUACUUUCUUACUUGUGUUUUCUUGAAUGUAUUUUGCUCUUUUUAUUUA